UACGGAGGGGGCAAGCGUUAUUCGGAAUUAUUGGGCGUAAAGGGCGCGUAGGCGGCUAGAUGUGUCAAAGGUGAAAUCCCUCGGCUCAACUGAGGAACUGCCUUUGAAACUGUCUGGCUUGAGGCCGGGAGAGGGUAGCGGAAUUCCCAGUGUAGCGGUGAAAUGCGUAGAUAUUGGGAGGAACACCAGUGGCGAAGGCGGCUACCUGGACCGGUUCUGACGCUGAGGCGCGAAGGCGUGGGGAGCAAACAGG
rnacentral:rRNA from 1 species